rnacentral:rRNA from 1 species
UACGUAGGCAGCGAGCGUUGUUCGGAUUUACUGGGCGUAAAGAGUGCGUAGGCGGUUUUCUAAGUUUGGUGUGAAAUCUCCCGGCUUAACUGGGAGGGUGCGCCGAAGACUGGAAGGCUUGAGUAUGGGAGAGGUAAGCGGAAUUCCUGGUGUAGCGGUGAAAUGCGUAGAUAUCUGGAGGAACACCGGUGGCGAAGGCGGCAUCCUGGACCGGCAUUGACGCUGAGGCGCGAAAGCCAGGGGAGCAAACGGG